CAGGGCUCAGCAGUUCGUUUGUUUGAUUUUUCUACAGUGCGAACUUUCACAGCUUCCAACCACGUAUCUCUCCCUUUGCUGAGGUCUGUUCUUGAUGAGGUUUUUACUAUAUCUGUGCUAAGGAGCUGCAGAGACACAUUGUCAAGAGACCAACUGUUUGAGAAUGAAAGGCUUUACCAAGUCAUUUUUAUAAUAUUAGAACUUUUUAGACAGUCAGGCUUAUCGUUCUGUGUGGAGCUAUAUGUGCUGGGGGUUGUGAAAUACCUGUCUGCAGAGAGCAAGGGGCGUCUUUCUCCACUCAGCAGCUUGGCUCAGAUUAGCUUCUCUUGAAGACUGGUGGGAAGUAUCAGUGUAAAGGUAUUUUCAGUGGCCUGGUUCUUUUCUCAAGUCCUUAGCACGCGGAGCAUUUUAAAGCCAGUUGGCCUGAUAUGAAGCCCUGUAUGUAUUACACUCAGACAUGCUUGCCCAUAAAGGCAGGUUGGUCUUCCAGAGCCUAACAACUCUGAAGGGUUGAAUAGUUUUGUGGUGAAAGUCUUUAAAUUUGACGUCAUAACUAAAAGUAGCUGAAAGUUGGAACUCUUCACAUUGCUGCCCUAAGAUAUUUUAUUCACCUUGAGCUUACAGCUUCUGACUAAUGUAUUGUAUCAGGCUUGGUUAUUCUUUGUAUUUUGUUUCUUUGUCUGCAAAGCAGAAAGGAUGUGGCCCUAGAUAUGUCCAUGCUUGAAUGUAUACUUUUAUAAGUAAAAACUGUAUGCAUUUGGCUGUAUUUCAUUAUUCUUUAAAUAAAAGUUGUGCCAUAACUUA